rnacentral:rRNA from 1 species
UACGUAGGGCGCAAGCGUUGUCCGGAAUUAUUGGGCGUAAAGAGCUCGUAGGCGGUCUGUCGCGUCUGCUGUGAAAACUCAGGGCUUAACCCUGAGCUUGCAGUGGGUACGGGCAGACUAGAGUGCGGUAGGGGAGACUGGAAUUCCUGGUGUAGCGGUGAAAUGCGCAGAUAUCAGGAGGAACACCCGUGGCGAAAGCGGCUCUCUGGGACGGUA